rnacentral:rRNA from 1 species
AUGGACACCACCGGCGCCGCCGCCGCCGCCGCCGGCGGAGGCAGCGAGGAGGAGGACCAGGCCCGCCUGGCCGCCAUCACCGACAACCUCAAGGCCCGUGACUCGAUCCGGCUGUACGCCUGGCUCUCGCACCGGUGCUUCUCCGACUGCGUCACCACCUUCUACCGCAAGACGCUGGGCAAGCGCGAGGGGGACUGCGUCCGCGCCUGCGUCCGCAAGUACCAGCUCGCCACCGCCGCGUCCGCCGCCCGCUUCAACAAGCUCGCCGACCCCUCCGCCGCGGCCGACGACGACGACGAGGACGACUGA